AGAGUUCAAGAGUACGUGAAACCGUUUAGGGGUAAACCUGAGAAACCCGAAAAGUCGAAGGGAGAAAUUCACCGCGGUUCGACGAAGGUGACGUAUCGACGCGUGACUGCGCUCUUCGGACGCGCGGCGCCGUCGGUACGUUUUUUUUAUCGACGACGAACGCGUGCACUUUUCUCCCGGUAGGACGUCGCGAUCCGUUGGGCGUCGGUCUACGGCUGACGGUGGAGACCGCGAGUCGUUCUUCGGAACGUACGCGCGGACCCGUUUGCACCCCGACCGACUCGCUCGACGGUAUACGAACGGUUUGGGGCCGCUUUUAAAGCGUCCGACUCGCGGCUUUCGAGCCGCGACGCUCUUGGACAGACCCUAUUCGAAAACCGAUCUGCGACGCUAUAGCUUUGGGUACUUUCAGGGCCCGUCUUGAAACACGGACCAAGGAGUCUAGCAUAUACGCGAGUCAUUGGGAAUCGCUAAACCUAAAGGCGUAAUGAAAGUAAAACUUUUCCUCGUGAGAAGUUAGGGAAGACGGGCGGCUUCGUCGCCGUCCCGCACUCCCGGGGUGUCUCGUUCUCAUUGCGAGAUGAGGCGCACCAAGAGCGUAUACGCUGGGACCCGAAAGAUGGUGAACUAUGCCUGGUCAGGACGAAGUCAGGGGAAACCCUGAUGGAGGUCCGUAGCGAUUCUGACGUGCAAAUCGAUCGUCGGAACUGGGUAUAGNNNNNNNNNNNNNNNNNNNNNNNNNNNNNNNNNNNNNNNNGGGCGAAAGACUAAUCGAACCAUCUAGUAGCUGGUUCCCUCCGAAGUUUCCCUCAGGAUAGCUGGCGCUCGUUGCAUACGAGUGUCAUCCGGUAAAGCGAAUGAUUAGAGGCAUUGGGGUCGAAACGACCUCAACCUAUUCUCAAACUUUAAAUGGGUGAGAUCUCCGGCUUGCUCGAACAAGUGAAGCCGCGAGACUUAAACGGAUCAGAGUGCCAAGUGGGCCAUUUUUGGUAAGCAGAACUGGCG
rnacentral:rRNA from 1 species